UAAGGAUGCCAAGAUACAGUGUGAGAAGCUGCAAAGGAUGUACUCAAACCAGAGCAUCUUUGCACAGUCCUGGGCCAGGGCUUCCUGUUUGCUGCCCAGAAGGUGACUUGGUAGCAACUACACAGAGUUUAACAACUUGAGAAAGAGGUUUCUGCCCCACAGCAGCUGUGUCUCCUGUGCUGCAGAAGCUGCCGUGGAGAAUCAGGAGCAGCAUGAAACAUGAUCUGCAGUUUGAAGCUGGGAGGAGGCAGAGGAGAAGCCCCAGGAGUGAGAGCAGCAGGGAACAGGCACAGACGCAGAACCAAGCAAGACCAGCAGAGCCAGCAAGGUGACAAGAGAUGGAGGAGCAUCCCUGUGGAGACCAUCAGCUGGUCAAGCUGGACAUUUCUCCUGGACAAAGGCAGGACACUGCUCGACCUGUGAGAGAUUUCAGUAAGUAAAAUACAGUUUCACUCUGGGAUCUGUGCAUGAUAUGGAGGAUAAUUUAUCUUCCUUCUUCCUCCUGGGACUGCUAGUGGCAGUUUUUGCAUCAUUUUAGCUCUCCUGACCCAUCUUUGUUCCGUCCCUGUAGACAGUUGAAGGGUCAAAGGCUUCAGCCAAGGGGCGGAACAUCAUCUGUGGUUCUCCUGGUGGAGCAGAUUGGGCAGAAAGGCAGGGACAGAAUAGCCCCACCUACACAUAGCUCAGUGCUGGGGUUACAGUCAGAGACUCCAGGUCUGAUCUUGCAGGGUGCUGGAUCCUGGUGGAGUUUGCAGUGGGAACAGCUCUGCCCCAGCUUGUGGCUUCCAAGUGCUGAAUUGUUUUCUUGUUCUAAUUUAACAUAUGUAUAACACUGAAGUAAUAGAGUGAUCCAUAAGAGCCCAGCAUCAUCUGGGACUGGCACACAGCCUGGCUGUCACACAUCCCUGAGGGAGGAGACAGGCUGAUCCCAGCCCAGGUAAGAGCUGGGGUGUCAGGAAGGGGGAGAAGGAAAUAGGGUGGCUGGGAAUGCUCUGGGAGAGAAGGCAGGUUGGCACCUUCCAGUCUGGGAGAGCCACCCAGGGAGGGCUGAGCCAGCACAGGUGUUGCAGCAGGGUCUGGGGGGCAUUGCUGGGGUCACCCAGCACAGGGCUCUUCCCUAUGGGAACCUGUGUGUGCCAGGGCACUGCUGGGAGCACCGCUCCCUCCUGGAGUCCCACUUCGCAGCUUUUAGCUUUAACGCACUUUUCACAAAAUCCCAGAAUGGUUUGGGUGGGAAAGGACCUUAAAAACCACCUCUUCCCAACCCUCUGCCAUGGGCAGGGACACAUUCCACUAAACCAGGUUGCUCAGAGCCGUUACAUUCAAUAAUAAUACUUGUUCAAUAGUAAUAAUAAUUCCAUUUCUCAUAGCAUUUUGGGUGUUCCCGGGGUUUGUUAUCACACCCCGGGGCUGGAAGCACUAACAAAAAGCCGAGUGAGCUGAGGAGAGCGUGCCCCCUGUGCCAGGUCAGCCCGGCAGCCCCUCCCGGCACGUGGCAUGGCCACCAGUCCCCCCCGGCAGCGGCUGCACCCAGUGAGGCUCUUUGUGCUGGGCACGGUGCCCGCU